CCCUUAGAUGUUCUGGGCCGCACGCGCGCUACACUGACUGGUGCAACAAGUGUCUGACCUUGGCUCGAGAGGCCUGGGCAACCUUUGAACGCCAGUCGUGCUGGGGAUAGAUUCUUGCAAUUAUUAAUCUUCAACGAGGAAUUCCUAGUAAACGCAAGUCAUCAGCUUGCAUUGAUUACGUCCCUGCCCUUUGUACACACCGCCCGUCGCUCCUACCGAUUGGGUGCUCCGGUGAAUUGUUUGGACUGCUGUCAGUCUUUUCGGCUGUCGGCGAGAAGCUCUGUGAACCUUAGCACCUAGAGGAAGGAGAAGUCGUAACA
rnacentral:rRNA from 1 species